rnacentral:lncRNA from 1 species
AAAGACACAUGCACUCAACGACGAACAUGAAAAUAUACAACAGCUAUAUAAUCCAUUUUUUUCUAUACAGUACUAAAUUCGUUCCGAACACGGACACUGUUUUUUGUUUUGGAAUUUUUAGAUAUUUUGCCAAAUGAAAAAAUGCAUAAUCACCCGAGGAAAACCAGAAGUGCCAUGCACGGUUGCUGUGGAUGGCAAGAUCUGGUGAAAAACCUUGACGAUUAUGAGUCCGGAUACCGAAAACCGCAGGGAGGACCCCGCCCACUUACACAGCCGAAUUAACUAUAAUAUUUAUAUACCACACCUACCCAUACCUACCAAAAUCCAGAAAGGUAAAAAUCUUGCAAAAAAAAGUCCAAAAAAUCUCACAAGAUGUUCAAAAAAACAUUGUAGACCACCCGAAAAUUCAGUCUACAGAUUGCGCAAGAUAAAUAUCCCUUUUUAUGAACAAAUUGUUCCACAUAAGGUAUAUUUAUCUUAACCUUGAAACUUGAAAAUAUUUCAAAUAUGUUCAGGACAAGGUGCGUGGCAAAUGAAUCCAACAGCCCAACAGAUUUUACGAUAGUUUGUAAAUUGUAGAAGGUGUUAGGACAAUUGGAUGCAUUUUGAAGAUGUGAUGUGUGCAUUUCUAUAUUUGGAUUUUUGGCGCAUUUUGCUAUCGCGCGCAAGAAAAUUGCACCGCGCGCACUCAAUUUAAAUAUAGCAUGCACUGAUUUUCAUGCCCUUAAUAUUACCUAGCAUGCAAGUUAGCGCGUUUGAUUUUAAUAAGCAUGAAACGCGCACACUCAAUUUAAAUACAGCAUGCACUGAUUUUCAUGCCCUUAAUUUUACCUAGCAUGCAAGUUAGCGCGUUUAAUUUUAAUAAGCAUGAAACUUUGCGCAUGAACCUUUGUUUCAAGUCUAGACUAUAUAGAGCACACUUCACUAUUUGCACAUGGAGUACACUCACCGACUGUACUCCGCAUUACAGCCGCACGCGCGCGCUGCUUAUGUUAAUUAGCUGCGUUCGACCAUGAUGUUCUGAAUAUGAUCCAUGGUUGGACCAAGCUUAUGUAUGAACAAUGCAAGACAACACGGAAUGCAACAUGGCAAACAUUCUAUAUUGCUAUUGCGACCAUAUAUAAACUUGAUCUGCAGAGUGUUUUCACGGCGGCUAUGUUUGGGAACAAGUUAAGGUGCCGAAAUACAAGGAAACAAGAAAACCAUUAUUUUGAAAACUUGUCCAUCAACAAAGCAACCCAUGAAAAUACCCUAUUUUCCCUGGCGGUCUUUUCAACUGAAAACUUAUAGUACAAUUUAUAAAGCGCGCGCGCAAUGCAUUAGCAACCUAAAGAAACGAGCCUAUUCUCCACUUUGGAGCGAGAACUACGUUUCUUAUCAUUAAGCUCCUAAUCCAAGAUAUUUUAGGCAGAAAAUUGUUUCUUUUUUGUUGUUUUUUUCUGCAACGAGUAUUCUUGGACUAUUGUUGCUUAUAUUCAAAGUGGCUUCGCGGUUUCUUUUUUAUUUUUCUCUUUUUUUGCAAUAUUUCCUUUUUUUCCACUUUGAUUUGGUUCUGUAAGUAUUUUUCUGCAGGGAAACAGAUUCCAUUUUCCUGUUGUUUUAAAUACUUCACAGAAAGUUACUGGCGCAAAAGUAUGACGAUAAUAUGAAUUAUUUAGUAUACAUGCCUUAUAGUAUGCAUGCAAAGAGAAGCAAAAACGCCCUAUUCCUAGCUGCCUGACCUUCCUAACUAGUGCGCGCGCGCAUAUAACCUUUCAAAAACCUGCAAGGGAAACCCCCGAAUGUGGAGUCUCGGUCAUGCCCCUAGCUUAACUUAACUUAACCUAGUGUGCCAUCGCACCUGGUGAGCUUCCACAAACAGGGGUAAGGUUUGCAUGCCUUAUGUUAAUUUCUUCCAUCGUCGAGCCACCAUAACAGAGAGGGGACCUAAUCUCUGGUAGCGAACUGUUUUCAUAUAACAGAAAACUAACGUUCGAAACCAGCGAUAUACAUGCACUACGGGCGAAAGAUACAACUUUCCUAGGCAAUAUACCGCAAAUUUAUUAUCUUUACUAAAGCCUAGACUAUUUAUCAUUACAAUAAUCAUGUCAUUACAGUCCUAAACUGAUCUUUUUAUCUUGUCCAACGAUAUCCACCAAUCUUCUUACGGGUACCAUUUGCACCCUCUAAGCUAUGGAUACCAUUUGCACCCAGUUUAGUUAUCCUAUCCAAGGAAAACUGUGCCAGCUUUUCAGCUAACAAAAUUUUACCUACACCCAUAUAUUACAUACACAAAUAUACAGAUCAUGUAAUGAGUUAAGGUUAAGGUUAUAGGGUUAGAUUUAACCCCAAGCCAAAGCCUAACACAUUUCAUGAUAUUUCUAUAGAUUUAUGAACAUAACAUAUCGAUAUAAACAAAAUUUUUAAGUCUGGCAAGGUUUUACUCGUCUGCCUAUAUUCUGGAUACUAGAUGCGCGCUGCGUUAUCCAUGCACAGACACGGAGACACCUAAGCAGUACAUUUACACAAAGAGAAGAACAUUGGCACGAACAGACCGCAAAUAGCUAGUGGGUCUCACUACGAGUUACUAGAGUGAAAAAAUAAUGUUCA